GUGGCAGCAUGCCCCGGGCCUCCUUGUGAUGUCAGGAGGCUGGACAGCCAAGAAAGAAGAAAAUGGACUCCCUCCUUCUGAAGACUUGCCUGGAAGCCAGCCCCGAGUGCUGGAGUGCACAGCGCCUCCAACGAGAACAGCUAAGAGAGGCAGGAAGCCCAAGAUCAGAUAGCCCUACCUCAUAUGGCUCUCAUGCAGUAACAUGAACAAGGUGGCAGUCAGCAGGACAGGGCUCGCUGAGGAUUCCACAGAGCCAGUGAUCUCAGAGUGACAGACCUUGUUCUAGACCCAGCAGCACUUCCAUGGGAAAAUGCCUGGCGUCAGGCCCACAGGAUGGCCUUCCUGCUCCACCACCCAAAGGCCUUCCCUUGCUAGCGUCUCCAGAGCUCCUCCAUGGUGCUCCAAAGUCAAGGAAGGCCUUGAUCAGUUUAGUUCUAGACCAAAAGCUUACUAAAAUGUCUCUCCUCCCUGCCCCCACUAUGGUUCCCUGCUGAAUCUCAGUCUAAUUGAC
rnacentral:lncRNA from 1 species